AAUGCGAUGUGGGGACGGAGAAGGUUAGGUUGGCAAGCUGUUGGAAUAGCUUGUUUAAGCCGGUAGGUGGAAGACUUAGGCAAAUCCGGGUCUUCUUAACACCGAGAAGUGACGACGAGUGUCUACGGACACGAAGUAACCGAUACCACGCUUCCAGGAAAAGCCACUAAGCUUCAGUUUGAAUCGAACCGUACCGCAAACCGACACAGGUGGGCAGGAUGAGAAUUCUAAGGCGCUUGAGAGAACUCAGGAGAAGGAACUCGGCAAAUUGAUACCGUAACUUCGGGAGAAGGUAUGCCCUCUAAGGUUAAGGACUUGCUCCGUAAGCCCCGGAGGGUCGCAGAGAAUAGGUGGCUGCGACUGUUUAUUAAAAACACAGCACUCUGCUAACACGAAAGUGGACGUAUAGGGUGUGACGCCUGCCCGGUGCUGGAAGGUUAAUUGAAGAUGUGAGAGCAUCGGAUCGAAGCCCCAGUAAACGGCGGCCGUAACUAUAACGGUCCUAAGGUAGCGAAAUUCCUUGUCGGGUAAGUUCCGACCCGCACGAAUGGCGUAACGAUGGCCACACUGUCUCCUCCUGAGACUCAGCGAAGUUGAAGUGGUUGUGAAGAUGCAAUCUACCCGCUGCUAGACGGAAAGACCCCGUGAACCUUUACUGUAGCUUUGCAUUGGACUUUGAAGUCACUUGUGUAGGAUAGGUGGGAGGCUUAGAAGCAGAGACGCCAGUCUCUGUGGAGCCGUCCUUGAAAUACCACCCUGGUGUCUUUGAGGUUCUAACCCAGACCCGUCAUCCGGGUCGGGGACCGUGCAUGGUAGGCAGUUUGACUGGGGCGGUCUCCUCCCAAAGCGUAACGGAGGAGUUCGAAGGUUACCUAGGUCCGGUCGGAAAUCGGACUGAUAGUGCAAUGGCAAAAGGUAGCUUAACUGCGAGACCGACAAGUCGAGCAGGUGCGAAAGCAGGACAUAGUGAUCCGGUGGUUCUGUAUGGAAGGGCCAUCGCUCAACGGAUAAAAGGUACUCCGGGGAUAACAGGCUGAUUCCGCCCAAGAGUUCAUAUCGACGGCGGAGUUUGGCACCUCGAUGUCGGCUCAUCACAUCCUGGGGCUGUAGUCGGUCCCAAGGGUAUGGCUGUUCGCCAUUUAAAGUGGUACGUGAGCUGGGUUUAAAACGUCGUGAGACAGUUUGGUCCCUAUCUGCAGUGGGCGUUGGAAGUUUGACGGGGGCUGCUCCUAGUACGAGAGGACCGGAGUGGACGAACCUCUGGUGUACCGGUUGUAACGCCAGUUGCAUAGCCGGGUAGCUAAGUUCGGAAGAGAUAAGCGCUGAAAGCAUCUAAGCGCGAAACUCGCCUGAAGAUGAGACUUCCCUUGCGGUUUAACCGCACUAAAGAGUCGUUCGAGACCAGGACGUUGAUAGGUGGGGUGUGGAAGCGCGGUAACGCGUGAAGCUAACCCAUACUAAUUGCUCGUGAGGCUUGACU
rnacentral:rRNA from 1 species